rnacentral:rRNA from 1 species
UACGUAGGGUGCAGGCGUUAAUCGGAAUUACUGGGCGUAAAGCGUGCGCAGGCGGUUUGCUAAGACAGGUGUGAAAUCCCCGGGCUUAACCUGGGAACUGCGCUUGUUACUGGCAGGCUUGAGUGUGGCAGAGGGGGGUGGAAUUCCACGUGUAGCAGUGAAAUGCGUAGAGAUGUGGAGGAACACCGAUGGCGAAGGCAGCCCCCUGGGCUAACACUGGCGCUCAUGCACGAAAGCGUGGGGAGCAAACAGG